rnacentral:rRNA from 1 species
AUACGGAGGGGGCGAGCGUUGUUCGGAAUUACUGGGCGUAAAGGGCGCGUAGGCGGCCGUGCAAGUCGAUCGUGGAAGCCCUCGGCUUAACCGAGGAAUUGCGUUCGAGACUGUGCGGCUUGAGUGUGGGAGAGGAGAGUGGAAUUCCCAGUGUAGCGGUGAAAUGCGUAGAUAUUGGGAGGAACACCGGUGGCGAAGGCGGCUCUCUGGAACACUACUGACGCUGAGGCGCGAAAGCGUGGGGAGCAAACAGGAUUAGAAACCCUAGUAGUCC